UCAGCAACUACAACCUUUUUGAAUUUGUCAACAUUACUAGUUUCUUGUUGUCCUCCAAAUCUUCUUCAAAUUGAUCACAGAGUUGACAUCCAUUGUUUAUGAACAGGUGAUUGCCUCUUUUCUCCAGGGGUGAACACAACAGCAAAAAAAAAAAAAAAAAGGUUUCUUAACAGAUUUAGCCACAUUUGCUAUAUUUUGGCUAGUUAUGGCAGCAGGUGUUUCCAUCAACUGCUUUUGCAUUAUGCCACUUGCAUUUGCCUCAACAUGAAAUUUUUGAAAUACAAUUGCUUGCUUCCUUGAACCAGGUUCUUGACCAGUUAUUGUAACUGCAGCAGAUGAUGCACCUGAUGCAACUAAAGGCAGUUGCUUUCCCUCAGUCAUAUUUAAUUGUUUUGCAAUCUCCAUCACUGGUACUGUUGGUGCAACCAGCUGUUUGUUUGCAGCAACAUCACCAACCUCAACAAAUUUUUCAUGCUCACCCUCUCCAUCCUAUAAAGCUGCAACAACCAGUUCUUUCCCAUCAUUAGCAUCAGUUGGUUUUUCUUUUGUCAGUGCUAGUUGUUGCUGAUUUGCACUCUCUGCUACAACUGAUGGCAGGUGAAAAGAGGGGUAAGAAAACAAAGAAGGCUAAGGAGACGGGGGUUCCCCGGAGACCACCAGAAAACCUUGCGAUUAGAGAUAGAAGCCUGUCGCCACGUCUCCCACCACGCGGUGCUCCAUUGCCUUAUGAUCCCCUCAUGAAUGGCAUUGCAUAUAGUCUUCCACCUCCAUACAGCUUUGGUCGGCCCUAUAUGGCUCCACGCCAGGGCUUUACUGAGGUGCCUCCCCAGAGCCCCUCGAUGAUGUCCACACCAGGUUAUGCUACCCCACAGGGCUUCACUCGGUAUACUCCUGGGUCUCAGCGGGCUUCGUCUAGUGGUACUCCUACGGCCACUCCCAGCCCAACUGCAUCACAUCACUCUUCAUCAUCUACUGAACAGUACUAGAUUACGGGUCCUGACCUUCGAGAAAGUAGUUCUGUGCCUCACACUCCUGCUGCGAAUGACUUACCUGGAGGUGUAAGUGCUCCACAGCUUGAAUCUUAUGACUCAUCAUGGCGACUCAUCAUCGAGCCUGCGGGAUACGGUUGGUUACCGGAAAAAGCUUCAACUCUCCUUACAGAUGAGAUACAAAAACUAUUUAAAGACUCACCUACUUGGGGCCAGAUGUCACCAAAUUGCAAGAGACAGAUCUAUUAUGCAUUUAAGGAAAAAUGUGUCUGGCGCCCGAAACAUGAGAAGCAGCUAACUCAAAACUUCAAGAAGAAAGCUCAGCGCUUACUAUGUGACAUGUUAGGAAGGGUUCAUCAAUCUCACAAGAAGCCUAAGUGGAUCCUUCCUAAAAACUAUAACAAGCUACUUCAUUACUGGGCAACUAAUGAAAGAUUCUUACAACUGAGUGACAAAGGGAAGAAGGCUAGAAAUUCGACGAAGGGUGGCUCCCUACACACUAGUGGGGCUAUGAGUCAAGAGGUCGUGAGGAGGAAGCUGGCAAGUCUACAUUAACUCUACUUGAAGGAUUGUGAAUUUACUUUAUUUUCUUUAUGUCUUAUCAAUUUAUUCUUUUGCAGGAACUAAAACGGGGGACGCCAGUGCCUCAAGAUGAGGCGUUCAAGAUCACUCACGUGAAGAAGAAGACAAACGCUAAUGAUCCAGAUCACUGGUGUGAGGAACGGGCUAAGCAGACCUACAAUCAAUAUCAACAUUCAAAGGCGGAGUUUCUUCGUACUCAGCCACCCAACACACAACUGACAGAAGAACAAAUGGAGGAAAGGUGGCUUGAGAGUGUUGGUGGUCCCACUAGGUUUGACACAGCUUAUGGAAUGCCACAUCGUGCAUUUCGUCAAUACCGGUCGCCCCUGGAAGGCCUACAUUCUUCCAAUACCGAGUCGUUCGAUAGAGUGAGUGCUAUGGCCAUGGAGCAAAAGAUUGCUGAGCUAUCUAGCCAGCUACAGGCCUCAGAGGAAAGGGAGAGGCGGAGGGACGUGCAAUUUGACGGUAUGAGGGCCCAAUUAGACGCAUUACUUGCUUUGAGGGGGAUUCCCUCGUGUCCUGAUGAUGCUCGUAACCCCCAUACUCAAUCUAGUGGUGCGGAUGAUGAUGGGACUCACGUGUCAAACACACAAAGGCAUGUUUGAAUGUUAAUGUUGUGAUGGAUUUGUGGAUUUGCGAGGGGUGAAGUAGUCUAAUGUUGUAGACUAACUUAGUGUAGACUAGUUUAAUGUUUUGUGGAUGUUUACAAAUGUUGAAGUAGUUUAAUGUUGUUUUGAUGUUUGUGAAGGUUGAAGUAGCUUAAUUAAUGUCUCUUGUGAAUGUUUGAUUGACGUUUUUAUUCAACUUUGAAGUAGUUUCGAAUUCAAUUUGAUGUUUUGGUGGUUGUAAUAUAUGUGCUGUAAUAGUAGCUUAUUGUUUUAUGUAUUUAUAGUAGUUUGGUAUA